GAUGAACGCUGGCGGCGUGCCUAAUACAUGCAAGUCGAGCGAAUGGAUUAAGAGCUUGCUCUUAUGAAGUUAGCGGCGGACGGGUGAGUAACACGUGGGUAACCUGCCCAUAAGACUGGGAUAACUCCGGGAAACCGCGGCUCAUACCGGAUAACAUUUUGAACCGCAUGGUUCGAAAUUGAAAGGCGGCUUCGGCUGUCACUUAUGGAUGGCCCCGCUUCGCAUUUGCUAGUUGGUGAGGUAACGGCUCACUAAGGCAACGAUGCGUGGCCGACCUGAGAGGGUGAUCGGCCACACUGGGACUGAGACACGGCCCAGACUCCUACGGGAAGCAGCAGUAGGGAAUCUUCCGCAAUGGACGAAAGUCUGACGGAGCAACGCCGCGUGAGUGAUGAAGGCUUUCGGGUCGUAAAACUCUGUUGUUAGGGAAGAACAAGUGCUAGUUGAAUAAGCUGGCACCUUGACGGUACCUAACCAGAAAACCACGGCUAACUACGUGCCAGCCGCCGCGGUAA
rnacentral:rRNA from 1 species